UGGGGAAUAUUGCGCAAUGGGCGAAAGCCUGACGCAGCAACGCCGCGUGGGUGAUGAAGGUCUUCGGAUUGUAAAACCCUGUCGUUAGGGACGAAGACUAUUAAUCUAAUACAUUAAUAGUUUGACGGUACCUAGAAAGGAAGCCCCGGCUAACUCUGUGCCAGCAGCCGCGGUAAUACAGAGGGGGCGAGCGUUAUUCGGAAUUAUUGGGCGUAAAGGGCGCGUAGGCGGUAUGUUAAGUGAGAUGUGUAAUCCCCGAGCUCAACUUGGGAACUGCAUCUCAGACUGGGAUGCUAGAGUGCCGGAGAGGGUGGUAGAAUUCCACGUGUAGCGGUGAAAUGCGUAGAGAUGUGGAGGAAUACCAGUGGCGAAGGCGGCCACCUGGACGGUAACUGACGCU
rnacentral:rRNA from 1 species